CCGUAGCUCAGUUGGUAGAGCGCCCGCCUUGUAAGCGGAUGGUCGCGGGUUCGAAUCCUGUCGG
rnacentral:tRNA from 1 species